CUAACUUUCUAUAAUUUCAUAUUGAACUGUUUUGAUGAUUUGUAUACUGCUAUGCAUUGCUAAAUGUUUUUUUCAUUUCAGUAUAGCUGUGGUAAGUACACUAACUUUCUUUAAUUUUCAUAUUGAACUGUUUUGAUGACUUGUAUUCUGCUAUACAAAAUGUGCUUUUUUCAAUUUCAGGUCAGCAAUGGUAAGUAUAUUGUGUUUCUUUAUGUAUAAUUUUGUAUACAUAUUGUUUUUUUCAUCAUAGCAUGUUUUUUAUAUUUAUGCUUUGUGUAAGUAAAAUGUUCAUAAAUCAUUCUUAUCUUUAAACUAAAAAUGUAUUUUGAUAUGCAAAAUGUCUGUAUGAUUUCAGUUGCCAGAGGUGAGUACCAUUACAGUUGAAAAGUUAGUUUUGUUUAGUUAAAGUUUUGGUUCACAGUUCUGUUUAUUAUUUGGCAAAAUUUACAUGUAUGCAUUGAGUCUUGAUUUCAGCUCGAUUGUGGACUGAAGAAGAUUGCCAGCAGAGGGAUUGGAUACAAAAUACAAAGUAAGUACUGAGUUUCUUACUAAAAGUUUUGAGUUGUAUUCAUUGUGUGUUAAUAUGCUAUGAUUGCUAUGAACAUGACUUUUGUAUUUCAGCGAAGACAACAUAGGUAAGUAAAAUUGUUAUCUGUUUCAAGUUUACUGUUAUAGUUCAAUAUUGUGUUUAUAAAUUGUAAGUUGUACAAACACAUUCAAAAGUUUCUGAUCAUGCUUUCAAUUUCAUUUCAGCCCUACUACAAGACGAGUGUUUUCUACUACUAGACGUGUCAGGUUUACUUCCAGGCGAGCAGUGACAACAAGGCGCCUUUGUGGAAACAGCAAAACAAACAACUCUACUGCAAGACGAGCAGUAACAGCAAGGCGCCUGAACAUGCAACACAAUACAAAAAAUGCCAAUAUCCAAACCUUGAUGUGGACACCGAGUAGUCAAUACAUACGUGUGGCGUAUAGCUGCGACAAAACCGUGGGUCCAUCGCACCGAUAACUUGAACAUUGGCCCGUGUAUGGACAUCAGUGCAACUUUGUGAAUCCAUGUAUCUUUGUGAAUCCAUGUAACAUUGCGAAUGUGUGUCGAUCGAAAAAUGUGUACAUUCUGAACUGAAACGAACUCGGUGUUGCAAGUGGCAAGUGUUGACAGUGUGUAUGUUUAUGUUUAUGUUUUUACAUGAAAACUAAAGGAGAUUGUUCUCCUACCUUUUUUUUCCUUGUUUUAUUGCGCUGGCCAGCAAUAUUGAUGUAUUGAUGUAUGUGUUUGUGUUUAAACUAUGCAAUACCAAAAUCAAACAAAAAAUAAACAUUAACAGUCAUUAACUGUG